rnacentral:rRNA from 1 species
CCGAUGGCGACCGGCGCACGGGUGAGUAACACGUAUCCAACCUGCCGAUAACUCGGGGAUAGCCUUUCGAAAGAAAGAUUAAUAUCCGAUAGGAUAUCAAGGUCGCAUGAUCUUGAUAUUAAAGAAUUUCGGUUAUCGAUGGGGAUGCGUUCCAUUAGUUAGUUGGCGGGGUAACGGCCCACCAAGACGACGAUGGAUAGGGGUUCUGAGAGGAAGGUCCCCCACAUUGGAACUGAGACACGGUCCAAACUCCUACGGAAGGCAGCAG